rfam:Eutrema salsugineum unplaced genomic scaffold scaffold_11, whole genome shotgun sequence.
AACCCAUGGUGAGAGCACUGGUUGGUAUAGCUUCUGAAUCUCUCCCAGGCUUCACCAAAUGUCUCAUUGUUGUGUUGUGUGAAGGAAGAGAUUUGAUUCCUGAGUUU